CUACGGGGUGCUCCAGUGAGGAAUAUUGCACAAUGGGGGGAACCCUGAUGCAGCAACGCCGCGUGGAGGAUGACGCAUUUCGGUGUGUAAACUCCUUUUAUAUGUCAAGAAAAUGACGGUAGCAUAUGAAUAAGCACCGGCUAACUCCGUGCCAGCAGCCGCGGUAAUACGGAGGGUGCAAGCGUUACUCGGAAUCACUGGGCGUAAAGGACGCGUAGGCGGGUUGGAAAGUCAGGUGUGAAAUCCUACAGCUUAACUUUAGAACUGCACUUGAAACUUCUAAUCUAGAGUAUGGGAGGGGGAGAUGGAAUUAGUGGUGUAGGGGUAAAAUCCGUAGAUAUCACUAGGAACACCUAAAGCGAAGGCGAUCUCCUGGAACAUUACUGACGCUAAGGCGUGAAAGCGUGGGGAGCAAACAGGAUUAGAUACCCCGGUAGUC
rnacentral:rRNA from 1 species